rnacentral:rRNA from 1 species
AUUGAACGCUGGCGGCAGGCCUAACACAUGCCAGUCGAGCGGAUGAAGGGAGCUUGCUCCUGGAUUCAGCGGCGGACGGGUGAGUAAUGCCUAGGAAUCUGCCUGGUAGUGGGGAUAACGUCCGGAAACGGGCGCUAAUACCGCAUACGUCCUGAGGGAGAAAGUGGGGGAUCUUCGGACCUCACGCUAUCAGAUGAGCCUAGGUCGGAUUAGCUAGUUGGUGGGGUAAAGGCCUACCAAGGCGACGAUCCGUAACUGGUCUGAGAGGAUGAUCAGUCACACUGGAACUGAGACACGGUCCAGACUCCUACGGGAGGCAGCAGUGGGGAAUAUUGGACAAUGGGCGAAAGCCUGAUCCAGCCAUGCCGCGUGUGUGAAGAAGGUCUUCGGAUUGUAAAGCACUUUAAGUUGGGAGGAAGGGCAGUAAGUUAAUACCUUGCUGUUUUGACGUUACCAACAGAAUAAGCACCGGCUAACUUCGUG